rnacentral:lncRNA from 1 species
CUUGCUCUAUUACUCUCAAUUUAGUUUAACUUCUGCGUAUAUGUAAUGCCUAUAAAAGAGAACAAUAACAAUUAUUUAAUGAGUUAGUAAUCAGAGUUUGAUUGAGACUCAAUUGCUUAUCCUUCAUCGAACUUGAGUCCUAAAGCAAUAAAAACUUCAAUCCUUAUCCUUGAUCUGGAUUAAUCUCUCUUCACAUGAGGAGAUUUCAUCUCUUCAUCCUUUAUGCAACCUUUUCGAUCAGUUCAGAAGAUAUUGCUGCUUGAUCCUUGAGACUUAUCUUCUUCACGUGCAUAAGUAGAUAUCCACCGUGUCUCACAUGAUGGACCUGAUCCAUGACUGAUUUCAUUUGUCAAUCUUCAAAACUUCAUCUGAACGUGGGCCAAAAAAUUUCCCCUUUUUGAUGAUGACAAACUCUGUGGAACUCAGCUGAAUUAUCAACACUGUAACUUAGAAAUUUUAACUUAUUAUUAAGGACCAGGUUUAAUCAGGUUAUAAAUAUCACUUUAUUUCAUAAUACAAAGUAAAGCACAAUAUCUUUUCACCCUUUGGCAUCAUCCAAAAGUUACAUAUAAUGUGAAUCCUAGAUUUAAUCAUUACUCAUGGCCACUUGGGCAACUGCAAGUGAAAGCAUGGUUCAGUUAAUCAAUAAUCAACUUGACAAAAAUUUACUAUUAUGAUCAGAAUCUUCAUAAAGCAAAAGAAAAGAAAAUUGUCAUUGAUUAGAAAAUGUUUCUAAUAACCAGACCACAAAAAAAAAGAAGAUAAAACAUCCAACCAUGAGCAACAAAAACAAAGAAAAGUCCUGAAUCUGGGUCACUAGGGGUUCUAGAUUAGUUCAAAGACAGGAACUGGAAGACCUAAGUCUUGGAGGAACUAGAGGGUUGGGAUUGGAGAAGAUUAAGAAUAGUUUGAAACAUCCCUUCACUGUUUUCCUUUGCUUUUGCCAGCUCAGCUUUCAGGGCAUUUCUCUCAUUUUCCAGUUCAACAACACGAGCCUGGAGCUUAGCAAUUUCAGCAUCUUUUGUUCCACUUUCUUGAACUAAGGCCCUAACUUGCUGUUCACAGGAAUCUUCAUGGAGGAACUAGAGGGUUGGGAUUAGAGAAGAUUAAGCAUAGUCUGAAGCAUCCCUUUACUAUUUUCCUUUUCUUUUGCUAACUCAGCUUUCUGGCCAUUUCUCUCAUUUUCUAGUUCAGCAACAUGAGCCUGGAGCCUAGCAAUUUCUGCAUCUUUUGUUCCAUAUUCUUGAACCAAGGCCCUAACCUUGCUGUUCACAGGAGUCUACAGAGAUGAACCAAGUUCAACUGGGCUACAUUGAGGAGAUAGUUACAAGCCUGCACAAGGUUUUGACACCAAAAUGCUCCUUGCUGGAAGCCAUCUCCCAUUUCUUCAAAAGAACAUUCAGCCUAUCUAGAACAGUUGUCAAUAUAAACCCAUAUGAAGUAGCAUGAGCCUUGGACCUAUUGAUGACUGUGUCCAGCGGCUUGACAAUGAAAGCAUUCUAGUUAAUCUACUUUACUCUCACAAGGCAUUCCAGAAGAACCAAGUCCAUGUAGUUAGCAUUAUGCUUUCUUUCCUGCCUGGGCAGCAAAUAUUUGUUCACAAAUUCAAAUAGCACCUUGUGCUCAGGCUUCAUCUUUCUCUUCUGCACAAACCUUGCCUCUGGCACAUCUUUAGUAGAUUAUGUAUCACAUAAGUUUCUGGUUAUUUGGAGAGCAAUAGGAAGAUCAUCUAAACAAGUCCACCUCUGCCUAGUAUAGUUAUCAUAACCCUCACUGGGUAUGUCAAGAAUCUUUCCCAAUUUAGGUGCAUCAAACUACACAUUUACUCAUAACCACGCUGGUGACUACCCCAUUUUUUACAGUGGCAUUGGCCAUGAAAUCAAUCAGCUCCUCCCUAAUCCAUUUGGAGAACCAUGUACUUCCACCCUUGUGCAUCUAGGGCAUCCACCAAUCUUAUCAGGCCUGGCUCCUCCAAGUCUUCCAACAGUCUGCCUUUGUAAAUCUUCCUUUUGCCAAAGAUGGAAAAUCUAUCAUGUAAUUUCUUAGACUCCUCCUCUUCUUCUUAUUCUCCACUCCAUUCUUCUUCUUCUUCUUCAGUAAUUUUUACUUGUUUCCCCUUCCCUGUAGACCUAGUUCUUUUGGCUAAUGAGGGUUCAGCAGAUACAGGUUCUGAAGACUUCUUUGAAGAAGUCUUGGAUCUUUUUGGUUUGGAAGUGGGAACCUCCACAGUUGUACGUCUUUCUUGAUGGAUCGGUUUCCUCUCCUCCUCCUCCUCCUCCUCCUCCUCUUCUGCAGCUUCAGAACUUUUCACAACCUUUUCUUUUCUCUUCUCGUUACCUCUUUCUUGAUGGAUCAGUUCCAUCUCCUCCUCCUCUUCCUCCUCCCCCUCCUCCUAUUCUAAAGCUUCUGAUCUUUCCACAAAUUUUGCUUUUCCCUUCUUCUUUUUCCUACUUUCUUCUAAAGCUUUUUGCAACUCCGCCUCACUCUAUUUGACCCUGCUCCUAGUAGCUCUUCCCUUAAGUAAUGAAGGGACAGUAGGCUUAGGAGAUGACACCUUGCUUUUUUUUGCUGGCUUGGAAGCAGUUGAGGUCUUUUGGGAAGAAGCCUUGCACUUCUUUGGAUCAUAGCUGACCCAACCUUCUUCAGGAUGUUAGCUUGGGUUUCCUCAACAGAUGAACCAAGUUCAUCUCGCUGUUCACUCGAAUGUACAAGACCUUCAGCAGCCUCCCCAUACUCACUUCCCCCUGACUUCUUGCCACUCUCCUCUAUCCCUCCACAAAUUGCAAGAACUUUGUCUUUCUUUUUCUUUCCCCUUUUACUAGACUCAGCCCCCUUUACAUCCUUCACAAAACCAAUCAACACAUACCUAUUAUCCACCUUUUAUACCACAUCGGAAUACAAGAUCUUUUACUAGACUCAUCCCCCCUUUACAUCCUUCAGAGAACCAACCAAUACAAACCUAUUAUUCACCUUUUCUACCAUAUCAGAGAAUACAAGACAAGUAUUUACCUCACCAGGAGUUUCUUGAUUUUUUUCAGUGUCAAAAGACCCAUGUUCUUCUCCUUCACUACCAGAAAUGAAUGCUUCAGACUCAGAGCUUGAGUCAGAUUCUUUAACAGGGCUCUUUUUUUCUGGCUAGCCUUCAUUUUUCAUUCAUAGUUUUUCUCAGAGAAUCAGAAUCUACUGUUUUUCUGGCCAACAUUUUCUGCUGGCGAAACCUAGGUUUGUGGGUUCUAAUAUGAGGUGUGGAUGGGGACGUACUAGGAGAUACUAGUGGGAGAGUGCCUGGAUUAUCUUGAGGGUUUGUCAUGGUGAAGUAUUUUUGAAGAAUUUUGGGAAUUUUGGACAGGAAGAGGAUGAUUAGAACUUUGGGAGAGAUCAAUGAAGGUUAUGGACUAAAAAGGAGGAUGUGGAGUUUAUUUAAAAAAGAUUGUGAUUAAAUGUAGUAAUGACAGCCUUUUUGCAGUAGUCAAUUAGGAAUCUAAUGACUUUGGAAUUCCGGUCUCUUAGUGGUUAAUAGACGACGCUAGUUUUUAGGCAAGAAUCUCGUUUCCUUAGAGUUCUAGGAGAAUGAAACUGGUUAAAUGCUCAACGGAUACAAUUUCUAGGAGUUUGGCUAAAAUAAGACUUUGAUCAUUGUUGGGAAGUUAAUCUUUCAAAUUGUUCAAAGUAUAGAAACGUACCUGAACUUUCUUAUGAGCAUAUACUGAUGAACCAGAAUUUUCAAGUAGAACUUCUCUUGUUUAUGCCUCAAAUGUCAGAAUAGAAAAAAAAACUUUGUAUGAGAUCAGUGAGUCACUAUAAACACGUGUCACAUGAGUAUACUGAUAAAAGUAUGAGACAGAGUAAGAAUUUGUCUAGACAUUUACACAAAGUAGAACUUCUAACCAGUUUUUUUUUUCAACUUUCCUUUUUUAUUUCAUUUUGCAUUCUUAACUGGACCUUUUAGGUGAUCUUAAUCAUCUCUAAUUCAAACCCGUUCCUCUCAAAGUUUCCCUACUCAGUUCUUUAGUGAAGAUGUCAGCUAUUUGUUUAUCAGUAGCACAUAAUUCUAUUGAAAUCAAUCCUUUCUCGUAGUUAUCUCUUAAGAAGUGAUGUCUAACAUCUAUGUGCUUUGUCCUUUUAUGAUGAACAUGGUCUUUGUCACACUUAUAGCACUUACCUUAUCAUAGAAUAUUGGUAUACAUCCCACUUCAAUUCCAAAAUCUACCAUAUGUUGUUUGAUCCAUAGCAAUUGAGCACAACAAGAAGCAACAACAACAUAUUUAGCUUCAGCAGUAGAUAGGGCUACAGAAUUUUGCUUUUUAGUAGCCCAUGACACAAGACAUGAACCAAGGAAGUGUGCCAUACCCGAGAUGCUCUUCCUAUCCACUAGGAAACCUGCAUAAUCAGCAUCAGCAUACCCUACUAAAUUGAAAUUACUACCUUUGGGAUACCAAAGACACAAAUCAGUGGUGCCUUUCAGAUAUCUCAAUAUCCUCUUGACAUCAGUCAAGUGUGACUCUUUUGGAUUCGACUGAAAACGAGCACAAAUCCCUACACUGAAAACAAUGUCAGGUGUGCUUGCAGUAAGAUACAAGAGUGAACCAAUCAUACCCCUAUGCAACUUCUGAUCAACUGAUGAACCAGGUUCAUCAACAUCUAAUUUGGUAGCAGUUGCAAUAUAUGUAUCUAUUUCUUUAGAGUCCUUCAUUUUGAACUAUUUGAUUAGAUCUUUUGUAUACUUCUACUGAUGGAUGAUGGUUCCAUUUGGACUUUGUUUGAUCUGCAAGCCUAAGAAGAAGUUAAGUUAACCUAUCAUGCUCAUUCAAACUUACUUCUCAUUAGUUUUGCAAAGUCCUUACUCAACCUAUCAGUAGUGGCCCCAAAAUUUAAUAUCAUUAAUAUAUAUUUGCACAACAAGGAGGUCUUUUCCUUUUUCAUUUAAGAACUAGGUACUGUCAAUUUUACCUCUUUUAUAACCAUGCUCCAGUAGGAAUUUUGAUAGUCGUUCAUACCAAGCUCUUGGGGCUUGCUUGAGACAUUAAAGAGCUUUGUCUAGCUUGUACACAUGCUCAGGACAUUCCUUGCUUUAAAAUCCUAGAGGUUGUUUCACAAACACUUCUUUGUUUAGGUAGCCAUUCAGGAAGGCACUUUUGACAUCCAUCUGGUGGAGAGUGAAUUCCAUGUGUGCUGCAAAGUCUAUGAGGAGUCUCAUUGCGUCUAGUCUUGCAACUGGAGCAAAGUUCUCAUCAUAGUCAAUACCUUCCUCUUAGUUGUAUCCUUGAACCACCAGCCUUGCCUUGUUUCUUGUAAUUGUUCCAUCUUCAUCAAGUUUGUUCCUAAAGACCCAUUUUGUGCCAAUAACUUAUCUGUCCUUGAGUCUUGGAACUAGAUGUCAGACUCGACUUGUUACAAAUUGGUUGACUUCAUCCUACAUAGCAUUGACCCAAUCUGCAUCAUGCAAAGUCUCAACAAUAUUUUUAGGCUCAUAAAGAGAUAGAAAAACAUCAAAUGCACACAGAUUCUUUAGUUGCGAUCUAGUUUUAACUCCAAAUGUUGGAUCAGUAAUAAUGUUCUCAAUAGGAUGAGAACUUUGAUACUUGUGGGAUUUUUCCACCAACUGAUUUCUGCUAGAUGAUUCUCCUUUGUUCUGUUGCUGAGGAACAUGUUCAUGAACAGUUCUUGUAGAGAUUUUAUUUCAAUUUCUCCCUGAUUAGUUCCCCCUGUCAGGUUGCCUUGAGUAAAAGAACAUGUUCCAUCACCUGUCCUUUCUUUUGAUGCCAGUUUGACUUGUGUUGUAGAUUCAGUCAUCUCUUUUACCAGUCCAAUUGCUUCAUCUUCAUGUUCCUAUCUCUCAAAAACAAUGUUAGUUUCAUCAAAUACAACAUGCACACUUUCUUCUACAUACAAAUUUCUUUUAUUAAAAACUUUAUAUGCUUUGCUAUGUGAAUAACAUCCCAUGAAUACUCCCUCAUCACUUGUGAGGUCAAAAUUACCUAGGGAGUCUUUUCCAUUAUCGUGCACAUAGCACUUGCAACCAAAUGCCUUAAGAUGGGAUAUGUUUGGUAUUCUCCCUUUAAGUAACUCAUAGGGAGUCUUCUCAACAAGAGGUCUGGUCAUGCAUCUAUUGAUUAUGUAGCAUGCAGUGUUUACAACCUCUCCCAGAAGCUGUGAGGUAAUUUACUAGAGAGAAGCAUGGUCCUUGCCAUAUCCUCAAGGGUCCUGUUCUUUUUUUCAACUACUCCAUUUUGCUGAGGAGUUCUAGGGGCAGAGAAGUUAUGAUGUACACCAUUUUCAUCACAAUAUUCAGUAAAUUUUCCAUGCAAAACAAUCUUGUCAGUGGUAAGGUUAAUCACAAAUCAUUUGGUAGAGGUGAAAACUAUAUUUCAAGACAUCUAUCAAGUAGACAUUCUCAAUGGCAUGAUAGUCUGUAUUACCUGCCUUUCCAACCCCAAUGAUCUCACCUUUCUUUCCAUUACCAAAGGAGACAUUACCUCCUUUUAGGUCUUCAAGUGAAAGGAACUGGUCCUUGUCCCUUGUCAUAUAUUUUGAGCAACCACUAUUCUUAUUCCAUAUUUGGUUCCUCCCUUUCAUUUGGAUCUGCAAAAAAGAAAUCAGGGGGUAGUAUUAGAAAUCCAAACUAGUUUGGGCCCCUUUCUAUGGGCAAAAAGAUGAAUCAGAUUUUCUCUUGCCCAACCAGGCAACUUGUUUUUCUUGAACAAAAGCUUUAUUCUUUUAACUGGCCUUCUCUUUUGCAUUGCAUUCAUUCUUGUGGCCAGUCCUGCCACAAUGUGUGCAGAUUUUAUUUUCAGGAAGCGUGAGACACUUGUUUUUUGGAUCUCAUUUUGAAGCUUGCCUCCCAUAACCGCUAUUGUGGUGCUUUUGUAAUCAAGAAAGUACAUCAGAAGCCUUGUUCCAGUUAGUUCUAUCAAGUUCAUGUUUCACUUUUCCUAGAUCUUCAUUUAGGACUUUGAUCAAUUCAUCAUUUUUAUAUAGCUCACUUUUCAAUUUUCCUAAAUUUUCUUCUAGAGUGAGAUAUGAGUGAUCAGCCUUCAUUUUUCCUAUUCCCAGUUUCAGUUUUACAUUCUUAGAUCUAAGAUCUAAGACAGUGUUAUUGAGUUCAAGAAUCUGGUUAUUCAACACAAUAUUUUUGUUAUCACUCUCAUCAUCCCUAGACUCUAGACUCUUGCAUUUUGCGUUUAACAUCAAACAUUCCCUAGAUAGAACUUCCUUUUCAUUGUUAACUAUCUCAGACUCAUCAAUGAAGUCUAAUAAUAGCUCAACCAACCUUUUUAAAGACAAAAAUUUAAUUUUGUCUUUGAGAUGCAGAAUACUUACCUUUUGCUCAUCAUCUGAUUAUCCAAUGGCCAUAAGAGCUUUCUCUUCCUCAGCUUCAUCUUCCGAGUCUUCAUCAGAGGUUUCACCCCAAGCAACAACCAUAUCCUUGGUUGAACCUUUCUUUCUUUUUGGUUGAACAUGUUCCUUCUUCCUGUUUCUUCGCUUAGACCUUUCUUUCUUCCACUCAAUUUCCCAUUGAGGGAAGUUCUAGAUCAUGUGAUCAGUCUUACCACACUUAUAACUGUCACACCUCCUUUUUACACACCCCAAAAGGGCAUAAGGGAUUUUUUCCACUUUAAGUGACAUUAUUCGAAAUGAGAUUAUUUAUUUUAUUCAGAAUCGCCACUUGGGAUAAUUAUGGUGUCCCAAGUCACCGAUUUAAAUUAAAUCCCAAAUCGAGGAAGUAUUAUUUUUUUUAAGAGUCUGCGAACCAAAAAUUCUAAGUAAGGAAUUCUAUUAACCCGGAAGAAUGUGUUAGGCAUCGUGGUUCUAGCAUGGUCGCUUAGAAAUUUAUAUUUGACUUAAUCAUCUAACUACUAAUUUUUAAGAUAUAUGUGCAGUUAUUUUUAUCGCUUUUCAAAAUUUAAUUAUUCGUAAUUAAAGAAUCAAGUUACAGGUACGUAUAUAUUUUUUUUUUAUAGUUUCAGUGUGUUGCAUUAAAGCUUCCAUGGAUGUUCCAAACACAAGGACAUGAUUGCUCUAGAUCAAUACAAAUCCAUAGAGCUUGGAUAUUAUUGAACACAAUUUCCCAGAUAUUCCGCCAAACUUUCUUAACAGUUUUUACAUUCUCAAUUUUCUAAGCCAAAAUGGUCCAAAAAGUGGGAUCAUAAAGAGGAAGUCUACACAAUAUAAAUUUGAACCAAGGAUACGAUAUAAUAGGAGUAUAUCAAAAAAAUUUACCAAUCAGGUGCAGUAUAAAUACUCUUUCAAAUAAAAUAAAAAGAAGCUACAAACAUUUACUUCAUAACAUAUAACAAUGAGCUAAUGGAGAUCUUACUUCAAGAUAUUCAAGUUCAACAUAAUCUUGCCAACAGCUAUGGGAAUCAUCCCCUUUUAGAGUAGAACAAUAAUAUAAAUUCUGUAGAAUUAAACUUGAGGAGGGGAAAGCCAAAUCAAAGCAUAAUUGCCUUCCUGCCCAUUUGGAUAAACCACGACCCAAAUCAUAGCCAAAAGAAAUGACUACUUUCAAAAUAGUUCAUGGAUUUCCAGCCAACAAACUUAAUAUUCAUAUUGACCACUAAAUGCUAAAAUUAAAUGAGUACUACACAAUUAAAAAUUUCCACUAGAAUUAAAGAUUCAAACAGCCCGUUUCAAUUUCCGAUUUGUCUAGCACACAUUUCUCAUUCCAUUUACAAUUUGGAAUUCUCAGAACUCUUAUACCAUAAGCAAAAGUAAUAGUCAGAUUCAAUUCAAGCAGUAAAAGAAAUAUCACAACAAAGAUAUUCAAUCAAAUACAUUUCAUCACGAUCUUCAGUAUAUCAACAAAACAAACAAUAAGACAAGAAAAAUCGAGGCAGUAGAUGUUUACCUCACAUUCAUAACAGGAAAGGGAAAAAGCCCAAAUAAAGGUCCAAGGCUUUAAGAUGAAGCUCAACAACCUAAAUGGAGAAAAACAUCAUCAGCUUUAGAUUUCACAGCUCUUUUAGAAAAUCGAAGAAAAAGAAUUAACUUUCAGUUUUCAAUUCCAAAUUCCACUUGCUCCCGAUUUUGCUUUUUGUUGUUGUCAUUUUCUGUUCUUUCUCAUGUGACAUUUUCUACAUUUGUGUGCAUUUUUUGGCGUGAGUGUGUGUUCCAUGAGUGAAUUCCAGUUGAGAGGGAGUGAAAUUUGAUGGUUUUUUCAGAGGACUCAGCGAUGGAGUGCUUUCUUCGGUUAGGGGUCUCCUCAAAAUGGGGAAAGGUUCUGAUGGAUUUUUUUACGUGUAUUUGUGUGUGGGUCUCUCUCUAGGUAUUAAGGGGUAUGGGCCUAAUGUUUUGAGUUUGG